rnacentral:rRNA from 1 species
UACGAAGGGUGCAAUCGUUACUCGGAAUUACUGGGCGUAAAGCGUGCGUAGGUGGUUCGUUAAGUCUGCCGUGAAAGCCCCGGGCUCAACCUGGGAAUGGCGGUGGAUACUGGCGGACUAGAGUGCGGUAGAGGGUGGUGGAAUUCCCGGUGUAGCAGUGAAAUGCGUAGAGAUCGGGAGGAACACCAGUGGCGAAGGCGGCUCACUGGACUGGUACUGACGCUGAUGCGCGAAAGCGUGGGGAGCAAACAGG